ACCCGCUGAAUUUAAGCAUAUAAGUAGGCGGUGGAAAAUGAACCAAAUGGGAUUCCUUAAGUAAUUGCGAAUGAACAAGGAAAUGCUCAGCUUGAAAAAUGGGGCCUUUGGCUUUGAAUUGUAAUUUUGAAAUGUAUUGCCAAUGGAGGCGCAGGUGCAAGCCUAUUGAAAGAAAGCGUCAAUGAGGGUGAGAUUCCUUUUUGUCAUUUGCAGUCCUCCGUGCACGGUAUAUAUUUGACGAGUCACACUCCUCGGCAUCGGAAUGCAAAGUGGGUGGUAAAUUCCAUGUAAAGGUAAAUAUAUUAUUGAGACUGAUAGCAAACAAGUACCAUGAGGGAAAUAUGAAAAGGACUUUGAAAAGAGAAUUAAAAGAGUCUGCAUUUGCUGAACAGAAAGCAAACAGAAUUGAUUUUACUUGGUGAGAUUGUUGUGCUUACUCUAUCAUUUAUAUGGUUGAUGUGGGUGCGAUGGUUCUUACCUUGAAUGUCAGCUUCUAUUUCUGCAAAUCAUUACCCUUGCACAUGAAUGGUAAUUUGCCUGCGGGUAUUGGAAUGCAUGUGUUUGCAAUGAUUUGUGAUUUGACGCAUGUGUUUGGUGAAAUUUGUAUAUGCUCUUUUGUCGAAGGGGAAAGCUUACUUUUUUGAGCAUUGCAAGCCCUUACACAUCAGUGCUGGCAAAAUGUUUCUGCUUGACCCGUCUUGAAACACGGACCAAGG
rnacentral:rRNA from 1 species